rnacentral:rRNA from 1 species
AGUGAACGGGAUGAGCUCAAAUUUGAAAUCUGGCGUCUUUCAGGCGUCCGAGUUGUAAUCUAUAGAGGCGUUUUCCGCGCCGGACCGCGUCCAAGUCUCUUGGAAUAGAGUAUCAAAGAGGGUGACAAUCCCGUACUUGACGCGACAACCGGUGCUCUGUGAUACGUUCUCAAUGAGUCGAGUUGUUUGGGAAUGCAGCUCUAAAUGGGUGGUAAAUUCCAUCUAAGGCUAAAUAUUGGCGAGAGACCGAUAGCGAACAAGUACCGUGAGGGAAAGAUGAAAAGCACUUUGGAAAGAGAGUUAAACAGCACGUGAAAUUGUUAAAAGGGAAACGAUUGAAGUCAGUCGUGUGGGAAGUAUUCAGCCGUCUCUGGCGGUGUAUUUGCUUCUCACGGGUCAACAUCAGUUUGAUCCGGUAGAAAAAGGCGGGAAGAAGGUGGCACCCUCGGGUGUGUUAUAGCUUCCUGUCAUAUGUGCCGGACCAGACUGAGGAACGCAGCUUGCAGCAAUGCCGGGGUUCGCCCACGUACAAGCUUAGGAUGUUGACAUAAUGGCUUUAAACGACCCGUCUUGAAACAG